UGGGAGUUGAGAACACUCUUCCUGGAGCCUCUGGGCUCUGGGCCAGGCCCUCGGGCUUCCUUUGGAGGGGGUGGAGGGUGGGGGCAAGUGAUGGAGCCUUUCUUGCCCAGCUUGGCACAGACCUUUCCCCUUUCUCAGGCUGACUCAUGCCCUUUUCUUUGCCCAUCUCUCUCUGCAGCAGCGUUCACACUCUUGGCAGUGGUAUCCAUGAAGCCUGCUUUCUAGAAAGCAGGAUGGCAGUACAGGCUGACUCGGCUAGCACCUCAGUCGGGAGGGGAAAUGACCCUCAAUGGCCUUGUCCUACCUGGGCCACAAACCCCUGUCACAGUGGAACCAAGAGUUCUGAGCUCAGGAGGACCCUUGAGCCUGGGAACACUCAUGCCUUCAGUGGGGAUGCUGAUCCCUUGGAGGGAGUUGACAGGAUGUCAGCUUGGAAUUGCUGGUGGCCAAGUUGGUCUGCACGUGAGGAUGGAGCCAACAAAGAAGAAGGAAAACACCGAGUAGUUUUUCAGGAACACACACCCUUGUAUCUGUCACCAGCAGGUCACCACCAGAGCAGCUCCAUCCAUCCCUUAGAUGGCCAGUCCUCCAGUCUUGGCCUACCACUUGCCUGUCUUUUCUGGAUGGCCAUGUGGUAUUGUGUGUCUACUUUCUCUUAGAGUGUUUUCAAGAUUCAUCCUCUGUGUACAGUAGGGGGUUAGCCACUCCUCUGCAGGAUGGGCAGCAUUUGUUUUAGCCAUCUUGAGGAUGGUGGCUAUUGCCAGACUUUGGUUGUUCUGAAUAAAACUGGUUUGAAU